GUUAGCAAAUUGCGUCAAAGACAGCAAUAUAGGCCACCACAAGAGGUUAAAAUUUCUUAGUGCUUAAUAUUGUAUUCCUCACACUAAUCAUUGUUUUCAAACCAGGUUGCAAGCACAGCAGAAUGGAUGGCGCACUGUGAAUCUGAGGAGAGAUUUUACCGCCAAGUAUGGGGAACACCGGCUUCUAUGCCAACACCAACACCAACACCCACACCACCAGCAAAUGCAGACAUUGAAGCCGGAAUAUCAGCCGCAGCGGCAGCACCAGCAACCGCACAACAUGAAGCAGGAACAUCUGCAGCAGUGGCAGCAGCAACAGCAUC
rnacentral:lncRNA from 1 species